AGUGAACGCUGGCGGUAGGCCUAACACAUGCAAGUCGAACGGCAGCACAGUAAGAGCUUGCUCUUACGGGUGGCGAGUGGCGGACGGGUGAGGAAUACAUCGGAAUCUACUUUUUCGUGGGGGAUAGCGUAGGGAAACUUACGCUAAUACCGCAUACGACCUACGGGUGAAAGCAGGGGAUCUUCGGACCUUGCGCGAUUGAAUGAGCCGAUGUCGGAUUAGCUAGUUGGCGGGGUAAAGGCCCACCAAGGCGACGAUCCGUAGCUGGUCUGAGAGGAUGAUCAGCCACACUGGAACUGAGACACGGCCCAGACUCCUACGGGAGGCAGCAGUGGGGAAUAUUGGACAAUGGGCGCAAGCCUGAUCCAGCCAUACCGCGUGGGUGAAGAAGGCCUUCGGGUUGUAAAGCCCUUUUGUUGGGAAAGAAAAGCAGCAGGUUAAUACCCCGCUGUUCUGACGGUACCCAAAGAAUAAGCACCGGCUAACUUCGUG
rnacentral:rRNA from 1 species